rnacentral:rRNA from 1 species
ACAAGUAAAGUGGCGUACGGGUGAGUAACACGUGGAUGAUCUGCCUUUUUAGUGGGGAAUACCGCUGGGAAACCGGUGACAAUACCGCAUAAUCCCGAGAGGGGAAAGACGCAAGUCGCUGAAAGAGGAGUCCGCGGUCGAUUAGUUAGUUGGCGGGGUAAAAGCCCACCAAGACUGUGAUCGAUAGCCGGCCUGAGAGGGCACACGGCCACACUGGCACUGAAACACGGGCCAG